AUCCUAACUGCACCCUCUAGUCCAAGGCUCCCAAGUGCCCUGACAUCUGAUACAUCUUAGCACAGAGCAAGCUAACGUGGACUCGUGCCACGCCCCGUUACACACAAGAGGUCAGAGAGGAAGCAGGGCACAGCAGUUUCCCUCUGAGCCAGACCUUGGAGGUGGGCAUGGUAUUUUUGUUUUUCCUUUCACCAAACAAAAGGUUCUGUGUAAAGCAAGGCAUCGUCCUAAUGCAAGAGGAGAGAUCGCUGGGGUCUGGUUAGAAGACCCGGCUCUGCUUUCUCUAACGAAGGUCUUUAUGACAAAUCUGCAUUAGUGCCUUGUCCGAGUUCACUGACCGUCUGCUUCAUGGUGGAGGGACACUGACUCGAAGGCCCCUAAGCAGGGAAGGAAGGUAAGCUUCUGUCCCCUCCCUCCCUAGCUGGUUUCCCUGGCACAUGGUGGUUUCUCUCUCAUUCUCUGCUGCAUGUUGUGACCAGGAGAGGAAAGAAUUCAGCUGGACUAUCUCAAGGCCUGUGUGAUGGAGUUGAAAGUUUUGCUGAUGUGCAUGUUGGUGGUCAAGGAAGGCUUUCUGAACACUUACCUGGUGCCCAUAGAGGUGGGUCACAGAGGUCCUGAGAGCUGGAAGCUGGAAAGAGUCAGUCUGGGGUCCUAAAAGGCAUCUUCUCUUCAGUGCCGACAUUGGGGGCAUAUCUGUGAUGGAAACAGGGUCUCCGCGUGGCCACAGGCACAUUCCAUCUCUUCUGAGCUCAUCCUGACCCUAUGCACUGCAGACCAGGGGUUCUAAGCUGCAGCAUCGUGGGUGGGGCCACCUUGCAGCCUCCUCAGGGUUGAGUUUGUUGCUCUUAUUGAUGAAGAAACUGAGGCUCAGAUGGAUAAAGGGCCUGGCCCAGGGUUACACAGUGCUGAGGCAAGGACAUGAGCCCAGCUUCUCUCACAAGGAAAUCUGCAAGGACGAUCAUUGUGCUGCAAGAGGAGGGGUGGGGGAUCUGAGCUUCUGAGGCAGCCUCCCUCUGCAGCAUUGCCUGUGGUAAGGACACACCACCCUGGCUGCAUAUUAGAAUCACCUGAGCAGCUUUUAAAAUUCCCGGGGCCCAUGUCUUACCUCGAGCCAAUUAAAACAAUCUCUGGAGGGGAGACCCAGGUAUUAGGAAUUUUUCAAAGCUGCCCAGAUGGUUUCAAUGUGCAGCCCAGGUUGAGAACCAUGGUCAAAUGGCAAACUCAGUUGCAGCUGUUGAAAAUUUAUAAAAACGCAAUAAUUUUGGAAUUCUCUUGCUUUAAAAAGGACUAAUAGCUUGCUACUUCUUCCUUCUCUGGUCACUCCGGGGUAGUCAUUUUGCAAGAUAAGGACCUGUGUUAAGUGAGCGUAAAAACAUGAAUAAAAAUUAAAAUAAAUUACUAAGUGAGACCUAAAAGCCAUGAAUAAUGUAACAAGGGGAAGAGCUAGAAGAUCUAGGGCAGAAAGCAAAGUCGAGAAAAUAUAAUAAGAAGAGGGUCACUGGGGAAGCCUCAGUAGGGUCGGAAUACAAAUGGAGGAAGGAAA